UCACUUACCUGGACGGGGUCGAUGGGUGAUCCAUAAGGCCCAUGGCCUAGAUUGGUGACUUCCAUUGCACUCAGGAGGGUCGUCCGUCUAAGGUCGGCCUAAGUGGUCGAGCCUGCGUCAUAAUUUGUGACAGAGGGGGCUUGCGUUCGCGCAGCCCCUGC